rnacentral:rRNA from 1 species
UACAGAGGUCCCAAGCGUUGUUCGGAUUCACUGGGCGUAAAGGGUGCGUAGGUGGCCAGGUAAGUUCGGUGUGAAAGCUCGGAGCUUAACUCCGAAAUGGCAUUGAAUACUAUCUGGCUAGAGGGUCGGAGGGGAGACUGGAAUUCUCGGUGUAGCAGUGAAUUCGUAGAUAUCGGGAGGAACACCAGUGGCGAAGGCGGCGAUCUGGGAAGCAUACUGACGCUGAGGUGCGAAAGCGUGGGGAGCAAACAGG